UCGCGUCUUACGACGGCAGUUUCAUUAGAGUUCCCAGCAUAACCUGAUGGCAACUAAAGACGAGGGUUGCGCUCGUUGCGGGACUUAACCCAACAUCUCACGACACGAGCUGACGACAGCCAUGCAGCACCUGUGUUCUAGCCAGCCGAACUGAAGGAAUCCAUCUCUGGAAACCACACUAGACAUGUCAAACGCUGGUAAGGUUCUGCGCGUUGCUUCGAAUUAAACCACAUGCUCCAUCGCUUGUGCAGGCCCCCGUCAAUUUCUUUGAGUUUUAGCCUUGCGGCCGUACUCCCCAGGCGGGGCACUUAAUGCGUUAGCUUCGGCACGGAGGGAGUCGACACCCCCCACACCUAGUGCCCAUCGUUUACGGCGUGGACUAC
rnacentral:misc_RNA from 1 species